rnacentral:rRNA from 1 species
AGAACGAACGCUGGCGGCAGGCUUAACACAUGCAAGUCGAACGCUCCGCAAGGGGAGUGGCAGACGGGUGAGUAACGCGUGGGAACAUACCCCUCGGUUCGGAAUAACUCAGGGAAACUUGAGCUAAUACCGGAUACGGUCGAGAGGCGAAAGAUUUAUCGCCGAGGGAUUGGCCCGCGUCCGAUUAGCUAGUUGGUGAGGUAAUGGCUCACCAAGGCGACGAUCGGUAGCUGGUCUGAGAGGAUGAUCAGCCACAUUGGGACUGAGACACGGCCCAAACUCCUACGGGAGGCAGCAGUGGGGAAUAUUGGACAAUGGGCGAAAGCCUGAUCCAGCCAUGCCGCGUGAGUGAUGACGGCCUUAGGGUUGUAAAGCUCUUUCGUCAGGGACGAUAAUGACGGUACCUGAAGAACGAAGCCCCGGCUAACUUCGUGCCAGCAGCCGC